GAGUUUGAUCGUGGCUCAGAAUGAACGCUGGCGGCAUGCCUAACACAUGCAAGUCGAACGAAGGCUUCGGCCUUAGUGGCGCACGGGUGCGUAACGCGUGGGAAUCUGCCCUUGGGUUCGGAAUAACAGUUAGAAAUGACUGCUAAUACCGGAUGAUGUCGUAAGACCAAAGAUUUAUCGCCCAAGGAUGAGCCCGCGUAGGAUUAGCUAGUUGGUGGGGUAAAGGCCCACCAAGGCGACGAUCCUUAGCUGGUCUGAGAGGAUGAUCAGCCACACUGGGACUGAGACACGGCCCAGACUCCUACGGGAGGCAGCAGUGGGGAAUAUUGGACAAUGGGCGAAAGCCUGAUCCAGCAAUGCCGCGUGGGUGAUGAAGGCCUUAGGGUUGUAAAGUUCUUUUACCCGGGAUGAUAAUGACAGUACCGGGAGAAUAAGCUCCGGCUAACUUCGUGCCAGCCGCCGCCGUAAAAC
rnacentral:rRNA from 1 species